rnacentral:lncRNA from 10 species
GAAUUUGAUGAAUCUUCACCCAAACAACCUACAAAUCCUUAUGCAUCAUCUAAAGCAGCUGCUGAAUGUUUUGUACAGUCUUACUGGGAACAAUAUAAGUUUCCAGUUGUCAUCACAAGAAGCAGUAAUGUUUAUGGACCACAUCAAUAUCCAGAAAAGGUAAAUUUUACUUCUUAAUUCAUGGUGUUUUUCAGUGAUUGUAACUUCUCAUUGUUUGAAAUAACCUCUUUUCAGUUAUUUGUCUAAAAUAAUAUGUUGUAAAUUAUACAUAAUUUUAUAUGCUGUAUAACACCACUUGCAGAUUCCUUCAGACUUAGAGUUUGAAAACUUGAGUUUUAAGUCUCAAGCUGGCUGACACUCACCAGCUGGCUUCACCACUUAGCAGGGAUUUUGAAAGAUCCAAUGAGAAUGAUAUAUGUGAAAAUACCUUGUACUUCUAAAGACUCUAAAGCACUAUAGAAUACUUCUACCUCUACUGUCACGCUGCAGUUGACUCCCUGUUUGCAGUCAGACCAGUAUGUCAGCGUAUACAGAAAGUCAAAAGCUAGCUAGAUAGUGAUGCAAGAAGCUUGUAUACAUUAACUGUCUUAGUGUCAGCUGGCUAACUGUGCCUCAACUCAUCUUUAUUGUGUAGGCACGAAUAUCUUCCAGAAAGUACUACAAGUAAUGAAUAAAAAAUGUAGUUUAGAGGCUGAAAAUGCCUGUGCAAUUGGCUCUAUAUCAUCAAGCCUGAUUUUAUAUAACUUUGGCUACUCUGCCUAAAUUUG